UACGUAGGAUGCAAGCGUUGUCCGGAGUUACUGGGCGUAAAGCGCACGCAGGCGGUCUGCUAAGUUUGGAGUGACAGUUGGUGGCUUAACUGCCAAAGUGCUUCGAAAACUGACAGACUUGAGGGCUUCAGAGGGACACGGAAUUCCGGGUGGAGUGGUGAAAUGCGUAGAGAUCCGGAGGAACACCAAAGGCGAAGGCAGUGUCCUGGGGAGUACCUGACGCUCAGGUGCGAAAGCCAGGGGAGCGAACGGG
rnacentral:rRNA from 1 species